UUCGAAAAACUUUAACCCAAGCCC
rnacentral:piRNA from 1 species